UACAGAGGUCCCAAGCGUUGUUCGGAUUCACUGGGCGUAAAGGGUGCGUAGGUGGUCGGGUAAGUCUGAUGUGAAAUCUCGGAGCUCAACUCCGAAACGGCAUUGGAUACUAUUCGGCUUGAGGGUUGGAGGGGGGGACUGGAAUUCUCGGUGUAGCAGUGAAAUGCGUAGAUAUCGGGAGGAACACCAGUGGCGAAGGCGACUACCUGGCCUGUUCUUGACGCUGAGGCGCGAAAGCUAGGGGAGCAAACGGG
rnacentral:rRNA from 1 species